rnacentral:lncRNA from 1 species
AAAAAUAUAUAUUGUGGAAAAAUAAAGAAAGAAAGAAAAAGGAAAAAGGAAGAAAAAAAAUGAUGAUGAGAAAAGUAGAAAAAGAAAUAAAAUACUCUUCAGUUCUUUGAGCUUCAUAAAGAUCCCAAGUGCUUUCAAGAUUAAGGAUUACUUCAUACUCAUUAUUCUAACCAUGUGCAAUUCGAUUAUAAGGACUUCAUUUGUGCCUCGCGAUCACUCUUUGCCCUUGCACAUGUCCACUAUCUAAAUAUGUGUGUUCAUUCUCUCCCUCUCCAUAAACAAUUAUUUUUCAUGACCUUUUUGAUAAGUCCCAG